rnacentral:rRNA from 1 species
UACGUAGGGUGCGAGCGUUGUCCGGAAUUAUUGGGCGUAAAGAGCUCGUAGGCGGUUUGUCGCGUCGGCCGUGAAAACUUGGGGCUUAACCCCGAGCCUGCGGUCGAUACGGGCAGACUUGAGUUCGGCAGGGGAGACUGGAAUUCCUGGUGUAGCGGUGAAAUGCGCAGAUAUCAGGAGGAACACCGGUGGCGAAGGCGGGUCUCUGGGCAGUAACUGGCGCUGAGGAGCGAAAGCGUGGGGAGCGAACAGG